UCUGGUUGAUCCUGCAGUAGUUAUAUGCUUGUCUCAAAGAUUAAGCCAUGCAUGUCUAAGUACACACGAAUUAAAAGUGAAACCGCAAAAGGCUCAUUAUAUCAGUUAUGGUUCCUUAGAUCGUUAACAGUUACUUGGAUAACUGUGGUAAUUCUAGAGCUAAUACAUGCAAUUAAAACACGGACCUUAUGGGACGUGGCUUUUAUUAGGCUAAAACCAAGCGAUCGCAAGAUCGUUACAUUGGUUGAACUCUAGAUAACAUGCAGAUCGUAUGGUCUUGUACCGACGACAGAUCUUUCAAAUGUCUGCCCUAUCAACUUUUGAUGGUGUAUCUAGGACUACCAUGGUUGCAACGGGUAACGGGGAAUCAGGGUUCGAUUCCGGAGAGGGAGCCUGAGAAACGGCUACCACAUCUAAGGAAGGCAGCAGGCGCGUAAAUUACCCACUCCCAGCUCGGGGAGGUAGUGACGAAAAAAUACAAUACAGGACUCAUAUCGAGGCCUGUAAUUGGAAUGAGUACACUUUAAAUCCUUUAACAAGGACCAAUUGGAGGGCAAGUCUGUGCCAGCAGCCGCGGUAAUUCCAGCUCCAAUAGCGUAUAUUAAAGUUGUUGCGGUUAAAACGUUCGUAGUUGAACUUGUGCUUCAUACGGGUAGUACAACUUACAAUUGUGGUUAGUACUAUACCUUUAUGUAUGUAAGCGUAUUACGGUGGAGUUCUUAUAUAUAAUUAAGUACUUGUAUUUUUUAUAUAUUCCUCCUAUUUAAAAACCUGCAUUAGUGCUCUUCAUCGAGUGUUAUUGUGGGCCGGUACAAUUACUUUGAACAAAUUAGAGUGCUUAAAGCAGGCUUCAAAUGCCUGAAUAUUCUGUGCAUGGGAUAAUGAAAUAAGACCUCUGUUCUGCUUUCAUUGGUUUUCAGAUCAAGAGGUAAUGAUUAAUAGAAGCAGUUUGGGGGCAUUAGUAUUACGACGCGAGAGGUGAAAUUCUUGGACCGUCGUAAGACUAACUUAAGCGAAAGCAUUUGCCAAAGAUGUUUCAUUAAUCAAGAACGAAAGUUAGAGGUUCGAAGGCGAUCAGAUACCGCCCUAGUUCUAACCAUAAACGAUGCCAGCUAGCAAUUGGGUGUAGCUACUUUUAUGGCUCUCUCAGUCGCUUCCCGGGAAACCAAAGCUUUUGGGCUCCGGGGAAGUAUGGUUGCAAAGCUGAAACUUAAAGGAAUUGACGGAAGGGCACCACCAGGAGUGGAGCCUGCGGCUUAAUUUGACUCAACACCGGAAAACUUACCAGGUCCGAACAUAAGUGUGUAAGACAGAUUGAUAGCUCUUUCUCGAAUCUAUGGGUGGUGGUGCAUGGCCGUUCUUAGUUCGUGGAGUGAUUUGUCUGGUUAAUUCCGAUAACGAACGAGACUCAAAUAUAUUAAAUAGAUAUCUUCAGGAUUAUGGUGUUGAAGCUUAUAUAGCCUUCAUUCAUGGUGGCAGUAAAAUGUUUAUUGUGUUUGAAUGUGUUUAUAUACAGUCAGCACAACAUUUAUUCGGACACUCGUCUAUGUCAACUUUCUUUAUAAAUAACUUGAAAAGUAUUUAAGUUUGACAAAAAAAUUUUAUUUCAUUAUGAACAUGGAUAUUAUUAUUACUACUAAUUUCAAAACUAAAAAAAAAAAAACUUCUUUGGCGUAUCAAAAAAAAUUAAAAGUAUCAAAAAAGCCACUUUUUUACGCACAACAAUUAUUCGGACACUUUAUAUUUUGUACGAAAAAAACUUAUUGUCCCAAUUUUUUCUGAUUUCAAUAUUUGGUGGGGCCGCCCUUAGCUUCAAUAAC
rnacentral:rRNA from 1 species